rnacentral:rRNA from 1 species
UACGUAGGGGGCGAGCGUUGUCCGGAUUUAUUGGGCGUAAAGAGCUCGUAGGCGGUUUGGCAAGUCGGGUGUGAAAACUCCGGGCUCAACUCGGAGACGCCACUCGAUACUGCCAUGACUCGAGUCCGGUAGGGGAGUGCGGAAUUCCUGGUGUAGCGGUGAAAUGCGCAGAUAUCAGGAGGAACACCGGUGGCGAAGGCGGCACUCUGGGCCGGUACUGACGCUGAGGAGCGAAAGCAUGGGGAGCGAACAGG